GAUGAACGCUGGCGGCGUGCCUAAUACAUGCGAGUCGAGCGAACAGACGAGGAGCUUGCUCCUCUGACGUUAGCGGCGGACGGGUGAGUAACACGUGGAUAACCUACCUAUAAGACUGGGAUAACUUCGGGAAACCGGAGCUAAUACCGGAUAAUAUAUUGAACCGCAUGGUUCAAUAGUGAAAGACGGUUUUGCUGUCACUUAUAGAUGGAUCCGCGCCGCAUUAGCUAGUUGGUAAGGUAACGGCUUACCAAGGCAACGAUGCGUAGCCGACCUGAGAGGGUGAUCGGCCACACUGGAACUGAGAAACGGUCCAGACUCCUACGGGAGGCAGCAGUAGGGAAUCUUCCGCAAUGGGCGAAAGCUUGACGGAGCAACGCCGCGUGAGUGAUGAAGGUCUUCGGAUCGUAAAACUCUGUUAUUAGGGAAGAACAAAUGUGUAAGUAACUAUGCACGUCUUGACGGUACCUAAUCAGAAAGCCACGGCUAACUACGUG
rnacentral:rRNA from 1 species